rnacentral:rRNA from 1 species
AUUGAACGCUGGCGGCAGGCCUAACACAUGCAAGUCGAACGAGUGGCGGACGGGUGAGUAAUGUCUGGGAAACUGCCCGAUGGAGGGGGAUAACUUCCGGAAACGGUAGCCAAUACCGCAUAUUACCGGAGGUGCUCAGGUGGGAUUAGCUAGAAGGUGAGGUAACGGCUCACCCAGGCGACGAUCCCUAGCUGGUCUGAGAGGAUGACCCGCCACACUGGAACUGAGACACGGUCCAGACUCCUACGGGAGGCAGCAGUAGGGAAUAUUGCACAAUGGGCGCAAGCCUGAUGCAGCCAUGCCGCGUGUAUGAAGAAGGCCUUCGGGUUGUAAAGUACUUUCAGCGGGGAGGCGUUACUCGCAGAAGAAGCACCGGCUAACUCCGUGCCAGCAGCCGCGGUAAUAC